GCGCCCGUAGCCCAACUGGCAGGAGGCAUGCGGUUUAGGUCCGUACCAGUGUGAGUUCGAAUCUCACCGGGCGCA
rnacentral:tRNA from 1 species